rnacentral:rRNA from 1 species
AGUGAACGCUGGCGGUAGGCCUAACACAUGCAAGUCGAACGGCAGCACAGUAAGAGCUUGCUCUUACGGGUGGCGAGUGGCGGACGGGUGAGGAAUACAUCGGAAUCUACUUUUUCGUGGGGGAUAACGUAGGGAAACUUACGCUAAUACCGCAUACGACCUACGGGUGAAAGCAGGGGAUCUUCGGACCUUGCGCGAUUGAAUGAGCCGAUGUCGGAUUAGCUAGUUGGCGGGGUAAAGGCCCACCAAGGCGACGAUCCGUAGCUGGUCUGAGAGGAUGAUCAGCCACACUGGAACUGAGAAACGGUCCAGACUCCUACGGGAGGCAGCAGUGGGGAAUAUUGACAAUGGGCGCAAGCCUGAUCCAGCCAUACCGCGUGGGUGAAGAAGGCCUUCGGGUUGUAAAGCCCUUUUGUUGGGAAAGAAAAGCAGCAGGUUAAUACCCCGCUGUUCUGACGGUACCCAAAGAAUAAGCACCGGCUAACUUCGUG